CUUGGUCAUUUAGAGGAAGUAAAAGUCGUAACAAGGUUUCCGUAGGUGAACCUGCGGAAGGAUCAUUAUCGACUUUUGAAUGGGUUGUCUGCUGGCUCGCAAGGGCAUGUGCACGCCUGUCUCAUCCACUCUCAACUUCUGUGCACUUUUCAUAGGCCGGCUUGUGGGUGCGUUCGCGCACUUGUAGGUGUCGGGCUUAUGCUUUACUACAAACGAUUCAGUUUUAGAAUGUCAUACUUUGCUAUAACGCAAUUAUAUACAACUUUCAGCAACGGAUCUCUUGGCUCUCGCAUCGAUGAAGAACGCAGCGAAAUGCGAUAAGUAAUGUGAAUUGCAGAAUUCAGUGAAUCAUCGAAUCUUUGAACGCACCUUGCGCUCCUUGGUAUUCCGAGGAGCAUGCCUGUUUGAGUCUCAUGGAAUUCUCAACCUUCAGCUUUAUUGAUGAAGGCUUGGACUUGGAGGUCGUGCCGGCUCUUGUAGUCGGCUCCUAUGAAAUGCAUUAGUGCGAACGUUACCAGCCGCUUCAGCGUGAUAAUUAUUUGCGUUGCUGUGGAGGGUAUUCUAGUGUUCACGGUUCUAACUGUCUUCGGCCAAAUUUUUGAACUUUGAGCUCAAAUCAGGUAGGACUACCCGCUGAACUUAAGCAUAUCAAUAAGCGGAGGA
rnacentral:rRNA from 1 species